rnacentral:rRNA from 1 species
GACGAACGCUGGCGGCGUGCUUAACACAUGCAAGUCGAACGGUAAGGCCCUUCGGGGUACACGAGUGGCGAACGGGUGAGUAACACGUGGGUGAUCUGCCCUGCACUUCGGGAUAAGCCUGGGAAACUGGGUCUAAUACCGGAUAGGACCACUGCCUGCAUGGGUGGUGGUGGAAAGCUUUUGCGGUGUGGGAUGGGCCCGCGGCCUAUCAGCUUGUUGGUGGGGUGAUGGCCUACCAAGGCGACGACGGGUAGCCGGCCUGAGAGGGUGACCGGGCACACUGGGACGGAGAGACGGCGCAGACUCGUACGGGGGGCAGCAGAGGGGAAUAUUGCACAAUGGGCGCUAGCCUGAUGCAGCGACGCAGCGUGAGGGAGGACGGCCUUGGGGUUGUAAACCUCUUUCGGCACAGACGAAGCGCAAGUGACGGUAGGUGCAGAAGAAGGACCGGCCAACUACGUGCCAGCCGCCGCGGUAA